AUUUAACUUUGUAUCUGUCGGUUGGUUGGCUGGCUUGCUAAAUUUUCUGGUGUUCCGGUCAGUUUGAGAGACGUCCGUUGACGCUGUUUUAACUAAUUGCGAGUGAUCGAGUGUUGAUCGUGCUGCUUGAGAGUAAAUGAGCGUGCGGGAUAUUUACAUUAACUGAAAUAUUCAAAAAUUUUAGUUGCAAAUAAAUUUGAUAAAAGUAACACCGUGCAAAACAACAUCUGGCAACUGGAUAGCUACGCUUAAAAUUCAUACUGAAUCAUACAACAAGUGUAGUUGAAAACAAAAAUAAUAAAAUAAAAAGAAUUAAAAUUUUCAGCAGCUACAUACAAUUAAUAACAGCCAGCAACAACGAAAUUUGCUCACAUAAUAAACAACAAAAACAAAACAAACCACAGCAGCAGCAACAACAACAACAACAACAGCAGCAACAGCAGCGUAACCGAUUGUGCAGAAAAUUAUCUACCGGUGUUGUACGCGCUACGGAAAAAAUAUACAAA